rnacentral:hammerhead_ribozyme from 15 species
AAGGCGUAUAAGGUAGGCUUCCACUACAAUACCUUACUGAUGAGUCCAGUAGUGGAAGUCGGGACGAAACGCCAA